UUUUAGCCCCCUCACAAGUACAGUGGUACCUCAAGUUAAGAACUUAAUUCGUUCCGGAGGUCCAUUCUUAACCUGAAACUGUUCUUAACCUGAGGUACCACUUUAGCUAAUGGGAUGUUCUGCUGCCGCCGGGCUGCUGGCAAGCGAUUUCUGUUCUCAUCCUAAGAUAAAGUUCAUAAUACGAGGUACUAUUUCUGGGUUAGCAGAGUCUGUAACCUGAAGCGUCUGUAACCCGAGGUACCACUGUAUGCACAAUGACAGAAAGCAUAAAAGUUAGAGGGCCUUCUUGGUAGUGGCGCCCGCCCUGUGGAACGCCCUCCCAUCAGAUGUCAAAGAGAAAAAUAACUACCAAACUUUUAGAAGACAUCUAAAGGCAGCCCUGUUUAGGGAAGCUUUUAAUGUUUAAUAGGUUAUUGUAUUUUAGUGUUUUGUUGGAAGCCGCCCAGAGUGGCUGGGGGGACCCAGCCAGAUGGGCGGGGUAUAAAUUAUUAUUAUUAUUAUUAUUAUUAUUAUUAUUAUUAUUAGACUUUUCUCUCCUUUUUUAUCAUCAAAAAGAAAAGAAAAGAGAUGUCUUUUCUGAACAACUGGUUGCAGUGGGUUUGCAAUGGGUGACAGAAACAGAAAGCUUUUCUGCAAUGUCACCGGCCUCCCAGUACUGAUACUGAUUGAUGCCCACUCCAACCCGGAGCCAUCCCAGGUCUGGACAAAACGGGGUAGUGGUGUGGUUUGUACAACACGGUAAGCUAGAAAAUGGCUUACCAUGAGCACAUAAAUAUUUUGGCCCCUGCGGAGGAGAUUGCAAUCGCUUUGCUUCACAUGAGUCUCUCCUCCUUUAGCACAUCUUGUAAUCACAGGACAAAACUUGUCGUAGGACAAAACUUAGUUGUUAUACCGACCAAAGAACCCAGUGCCCACGAUCUCCUCCUUGGGAGACAACAUAUCCAUUUGGUUUAGUGCCUCAUUCUGUUGCGGCCAGGGAUUUGCAAAAGACGUCAGAAAAAAGGCUAUGUUUGGUAAAUGGUAACUGUUAGAGAAUAUUGGAGUUUUAUUGCAUAUCUAUAAAAUAGUGCUUCCUUCUUCAGUGUCCUUUUUAUAAAGCACCAUUUGGGAGUUUGCUAGUAUGUGAACUUGCUUAAUCUGGGCUGCAUACCUAGGAAUAAAGCCUAUUGAUUACAACUGAUUUUUAAAAAAGGAGUCAGACUUCUGAGUAAGCAUGCAGAAACCUGCACUGUUUAUUUCAGCUGAUUAUUCAGCUCAAAAUUAUUUAAUAGGUGGGCAGCCCUGGAAACAAAGACCUUUUAAAAAAGAAAGUUGCCAGCCUGCUCUUGACUUAGAACAGUGUAUAUGGGUGUUAACUUCCGGCAGGCUCCUGAGUUAUAUCAAAAUGCGCAUACCUCUAGUGCUGGGGUUUUUUUUAUCCUAGGGAUUUUAUCUGCUUCCCCAAAAUACAGCUCAAAGCACCAUGCAUACCUGCAGAACAGGUUAGACCAUUGAUCAUGGGUUGACACGCCACCAUAAGGUAUGUACAGCCAACAUGGAGAGCCUCUCUGGACAGCAACAGCUCAUCACAGAGUCAGGUCAUUCUGAGGUUUCAGAAUGCAGGUGGGGCAUUGCACGGGCGACGGCUCGCAUCAGAAAUUGAGUGUGACAGGCAAGGACUGGGCUGUAACUACCGUAUUUUUUGCUCUAUAAGACUCACUUUUUCCCUCCUAAAAAGUAAGGGGAAAUGUGUGUGCAUCUUAUGGAGCGAAUGCAGGCUGUGCAGCUAUCCCAAAGCCAGAACAGCAAGAGGGAUUGCUGCUUUCCCUCCUGCUGUUCUGGCUUCUGAGAUUCAGAAUAUUUUUUUGUUUGUUUUCCUCCUCCAAAAACUAGGUGUGGCUUGUGGUCUGGUGCGUCUUAUAGAGCGAAAAAUACGGUAUUUAUCUAUGUCCCCUGGGAAGCUCUCCUAGCCCGUCACUUUUUUUAGAAAUGGGUACUUUGCAAGAAGAACUUCACUGGCUUUGAUCUCUGCCAUUGGAUUAUAUUGGGAGUUCUUGCCUUUCUGCUGAUUGCUUCUAUAUUUUUUGCUGCUGCUUUUUUUAAUAAAAAAGAAAAUCUUUGUUUAUUUCUUUUACAGUGAUGUUCUGACAGUUGCAAUUUUGUUGUUUUGAUUAUUAUGGACUGGAUGCAGAGGAAGUUAGUUAAUUCCAGCGGGACUAAAAAGCACAAGUAAAUUCCUUUGCAUCCACCACCACCACCCCAUGCAAAAUUAUUGUUCUUAGUCACUGUGGUUCCCUUUGAACAAAAGCAGGAUACGAGGAUGUCAAAAUAAAGAAAUAAAACAAAUAAAGUUGUCGAGUUGGGCGGGACCAUGCAGGUCAUCUAGUCCAACCCCUUGCAAUGCAGGAGUCUUUUGCCCAACGUGGGGCUUGAACCCAAGACCCUGGGAUUAGGAGCCUCAUGCUUUACUGACUGCAUAGCAGGGAAGAGAGUCAUGUGACUAUCUGCACUCCAGUCUGAAGUGGUACAGUCCAGUGGUACAAUGUGUGAUGGGCACUUUGUCCCUAGAGCCUCACCAGCAGUUUUGCAAGUCAUUUAUUUAUAAAAGCAUUUAUGUACCAAAUCAGAGUGGCGUACAGCAACUCAGAAAACAUUUAAGAGGAAUACAGAGCAUGCAUGCAAAUGACUGACUGCUCAAGGGACGUUCUAGACAACUGCAGAGGCCUCUCAGGAUUAAAAGAGUCUUCAAGAAAAGAUUGAAAUUCAGAAGCAUGCAUGCCUGCUGAGUCUCAGCUAGAAGAGUGCUCCACAGAACAGGACUGGAAACAGUAAAUGCCUGACUCCCAGUGGAGGCAGGUUGUGCUUCUGUAACAUGGGGAAUGCCACUUCCUAGGUCACUUCUGGACAAUCUGUUUAUUGAGCAUUCAUUCUAUUCAGUGCCGGAUUUAUGUAUAAGCUAAACAAGCUAUAACUUAGGGCCCCACUCUCUUGGGGGCCCCCCAAAAUUAUGAGUCUUUGUAAAUUGUGUUUCUAAAGGAACUUUUCUUAUUGCCAAAUGCCAAUGUGUUUGCAUUCUCUUUUUUUUAAAAGAAAAAUUAUUUAAUUAUUCAAAGUUAUAACAAAACAUAUUUUCCAAAAACAUAUCCUUAUUCCCCCCCCAUUUUUCCUCCCCCCCCCCCCCCAGAACCCAUCCUCCCACCCCACCCCCCUCAGUUCCAGUCUUUGGUUUCUCCAAUAACGCUAUUUUCUGCAUGUUACAGAGUUGUAUAGAUCUUCAAACUGUUUAGCUAAUUAUUAUCAGUAACAAAAUUGUGAAUGUUUAUUCAAAACCUGCCAAGGAGUCCAGUUCGCUUUGUUGCGUCUUCAAAUACUUUGUGAAAGGUUCCCAUUCAUCCUUAAAGUCACAGUUAUCCUUGUCCCGUAACUUAUAUGUCAAUUUUGCCAGUUCUGCAUAGUCCAUCAAUUUUUCUUGCCAUGAUUCUUUAGUUGGGGUUUCUUCAGUCUUCCAUCCUUGUGCUACCAGAACUCUCACGGCCGUUGUCGCGAACAUGAAGAUGUUUUUCAACUUUUUUGGCAGGUCUUUCCCUACAAUCCCCAACAAAAAUGCCUCAGGUUUUUUAACAAUUGUUAAAUGGAACAUUUUCUUCAAUUCAUUGUAUAUCAUUUCCCAAAAAAUUUUAAUUACUUUACAAUCCCACCACAUAUGAUAAAAUGUUCCCUCCUUUUCCUUACACUUCCAACAUAUAUUUGAACUAGUUUUGUACAUUUUCCCUAACUGCACUGGUGUUGUGUACCAUCUGUACAUCAUCUUCAUGUAAUUCUCCUUCAAUAGGGAACAGUCUGUAAAUUUUAAGUCAGUUUUCCAUAAUUUAAUUUAACCCAAUCUUCCAUCAUAAUGUUGUGACCUACAUCUUGUGCCCAUUUAAUCAUAACUGAUUUUACCUCUUCAUCUUUCGUCUCCCAUUCUAAUAAUAUACUAUAUGCGGCCUUCAAUCACUUCCGUUUGAAACCUAGAUCUAGUAUAACUAAAUCAUUUCUUACUGUCUUCUUUAUAUGUUUCAUGUAGUUGUCGAUAAUGCAACCAACUCUGAAAGUGUUUGCAUUCUUAAGUUUGUUAUGAAUAAAAAAAUCAUUUUAAAUUAGAGCUUAAUAAUUAUUUCACUAUUAAUAUACUUCUUAAUUGUAUUUCACUAUUAAUAUACUUCUUUUUAAUUGUAUUUCACUAUUAAUAUACUUCUUAAUUGUAUUUCAGUUCAACAAUUACUUUGAUAAAAUACAUAUUUUGUUAUGUGCAAAUGGCUUUAGAUACCUAUUAGAUCCAUAAAUUACCAUAUAGCAUAUGUUCAACACAAAAAACCGUGACAAUUUGUUGUUGACAAAGGACAGCUGGUCAUAUAAAGGGUCCCAUUACCUUCAGCCUCUUAGGGCCUCAUCAACCCUAAAUCUGACCCUGAUUCUAUUGCAGAGAGCCUAGCAAAUGCUUCAAGCAAAUGCAUUCCUCAGUCACUUUCCUUAUCACAAAAUGUCCCAUCCUUUGUGGAAGCUUUAACUGUGGAACCUGAAUCCACAGGUAUGUGACUGAACUCCACCCAAAGCAGCGACAGUCUGGAAGCACCCCUAGCCUCUAAAAGCAGCUGGCUGUGCACAGCUUAAGGGAAACCUAACAGGACAGCCUUAAGCACUUCUACACAAAAGUAAAUCCAUUUGUGUUCAAUGAGACUUAAUUUUAGGGAAGUAUUCUUAUGGGUUUGGGGGCCUGGAUGAUAGCCAUGGGGUCAAUUCCAAACCUGUGAUCCUAUACCUGUGAGGUUAGACUCUAGAAAGGAAAACCUGCCAGUUCUUUUGUUAAGGUCAUGGCCUUAGCUAGUCAGUAAAGUACCGUCACUUACAUGUCCAAAGAGGUUGCUCUGUUGCUAUAGAGACGAAUGGGUGGGCCUUCUCCAACAUCAUCUGGCUGGAUGCCACUGUCAUCCUAGGAUGGCCAAUGAGGGCUGCAUGUGAGAGAGGCAAAGUGGGGAGUGGGGGAAAGUGUGUUUUGGCUGAAGCUGGAAGCUGGAGACACAGAGGCUUUUCUUGCUCUGUGCUGGACCUCAAACUGUGGCUUUGGUGUUUCCACAGAAUCCCAAUAGGGAGGCAAGAUCUACUGUAGUGUUGAUGCUCUGAGUCCCUCCAUCCUAUGCUCAGAUUAUAUAAAACCACAUAUCCUAAAUACACCACAGUCUCCAUUGACCUUCAAUCCAAGGAAACAAACCCUGGGUAAGCCCUGGAACCCCUGGAGUCUCUCACUGCUCAGGGACUGGGGUGCUCACAACAGGAAGCGUCCUGCAAACACUAUGCCAUAGAAUGAAAGAACAUUAACCCCCACACCUCCCUCCCUCUCUUUCCCCCCAACUGCAUGAUGUCUAUGACAAUAGUGUCUCCUACUGAAGGUAAACAAACUGUGAAAUAGUCUCUGUGAAUCAAAAAUGGAGGUGCUAUAUGUACGGUACUUUUCCUUGUUUAUUUGCUUUGUAACACAAGGAUUUUUUAAAAUAAAAACUAAUUUAUAAAAACCAACAACAGUAAGUGUAUUAUACAUAAUUGCAGCCUGUAUAGCUUUGGGUUGUGAUCUUUGUGCUAUUUACAGCUGAGUGCAAAUGCAAAUGUUUAAGUGCAGCUUUCAGUACAGAAAGAUAGGGGCUUUGGAAAAUUCCAUAUCCCCUUGCAUUGAAUAUUCUUUUAAACACCCCCACCCACCCCACUUUGCUUGGAGUCAUGCCACCCUGGGCCACCAUUGUCUAUCAUGGAUGUCAAGUGAUCAAUACUUCCAAGGCUAAUGUACAGUUAUUGCAGUGGAGCAUGGUAUCCUUUUUAUUACAUUGGCCUUGCAGCUUAGUCACCUGAGACAAGAAACACUGUUAGAAGCGAAAGGAAUAAAAAUAGCAGGGCUCGGGAAAGGGCUGCCUGUGAUAAAAUGCUAUCUCCAAAUAAAGGUGGUGGGGGGGAGGACAUUGUAGGAAGUAAUAGGACUUAAGUUGCUACUCUUCACCCCGGGACCAUUUUAAAAUACCAUGUAUCUUACAGCUUUUCUCUUGGUUGUCCUUGCAACAACAACAACACAGUUAAUGGAGAGUAAGCGACUGACAGCAAAUGAAACAACCUGGGCAUAACUCACAGGAAAGCAAAGACUACACAACCCUCUUUGAGCAGAAUGUAUGGCUCCCAUUCUCAAAGUUGCCAGUGGCAAAUUGUUAUGAUGUUCCUGUGAGUUGGGAUACUGUUCUCCGUUUCACAGAAUGGACGUGAAGACUGAGAGACAGGCAGAACUUGAGGGGUGGGUGGGUGGGUGUUUUCAAGAAAGGAACGAGAGAUUUUGGCCAAUUCUCUGACUCAGAUCAGAUGUGGGAAGAUAGGGCCAUUUCAUACACUGUGUGGGAGUGAAGAACCUUUGGCCCUUGAUCAUGUGCGGAGAACCUGUGGCCUUCCAGAUGUUGUUGAACUACAACUCCCAUCAUCCCUCACUGUUGGCCAUGCUACCUGGGGCUGAUGCAAGCUGGAGUCCAGAAAUCUAUGGCAUGCCACAGGCUCCCUACUCCUGAAGUAGAGGAGAACCUGGCUUUGCUACUUAAGUUGCGCCCUCAACAAAGAGCUAAAGGCACUCCUGGGAAGUUCAUGUAUGUGUCUGCAGAUACACUGGUCACAUUAAUGAUAGUAGUAAUAAUAAUAAUAAUGUUUUUAUUUAUACCCCAUUCCAUAUAUAAAAUAAUAACAAGACGUCAAACAUUAAAAACUUCCCAGUACAGGGCUGCCUUCAGUUGUCUUCUAAAAGCUGCGUAGUUCUUUAUCUCCUUGACAUCUGACAGGGAGGGGGCCACUGCUGAGAAGGCCCUCUGCCUGGUUCCCCGUAACUUCACUUCUCACAGUUAGGGAACCACCAGAAGACCCUUGGAGCUGGACUUCAAUGUCCAGGGCGGAAAAUUCAGAGAGUUGGUCAGCAUAGCAUCUAGGAGACUGAAUUGCAAAUCAGAAAGUCCCCAGUUCAUCUUUCUCUCUUUGCCAUGAAUGCACUAGGAGGUAGUCCUAAGCAAGGCACUGUCACUCAGUUCCACCUGCAGUAUAGCAGGUAAGUAUACUGACUUACCUCCAGAUGUUGUUGGACUCCAUCAGAUCCAGGUGGCCUGGCCAGUGAACAGUGAUUCCUCCCCACACCUGCCUUAUGGGAUUACAACUACAUAAUAUGCAUGAAGCACUUUGAACACUUGAAAGUGCUGCACAUUUAUAAUUAUUAUCCAUUAUUUUUAUUUAUGCUUUACAUUUUUAGGUGCACACCUAAAAAACAUCGCAAGCGUACCCCACAGUUAAGUGGGCACAGAAAAACAAGGCCCUAGUUAUGAACUACAGCUGUCUGAAAGCAAAAUUGACUGUGAGACAAACUGGCUGCUUCAACUUCACUGGCAACAGAAAGGUUAAAAAUUGUGUUGCCUGCCUACAAGCAAGCUGGCUGUGGCCUUUCAGAGAAGAGAGGCUGGAUUCUUUCCUUCUGCAUUCUUCUCAGUUGGCACCCAGCAGCUGCUGCUUAACUGAUGUGACGGGACAAAUCUUGCACAAUUCACCCUAGCAAACGGAAAACACGGUUGCUAAGAGAGUGUCAAUAUGGGCAUACAUGAAACAGAGGAAAGUAGGAACGGUUUUUGUCUUUUGUAAAAACAUUUUUCUUUUAUUUUCUUUGAACGCCGUUUCUUUCAGUCUUUGUUUUCGCUUCCCUCGCUGCACCCUCUGGGACCGGCUUGCUCUCUUUGCCAAAUGCUUUUGUUCUGCUCCUGUGAAAGUAGCCAAAUGGCAUUAGGCAGUAGCCCAGAGUCCUAGUUUCCUUUUUGCAGGUGCCAGUUCUGGUAGACCUUGGAUUGCUGGGACCAAAACAGUCUUCUGCAGACAUUAGUCUGGAGACCUGGUGAGUUCAGGAUGGCAGGAUGCAAAAUCCUAAGCACAUUUCCUUGGGGGCAAGUCCACCAGGAGCUGUAGCUCAGGAGUAGAGAAUCUGCUUUGCAUGCAGAAGGUCCUGGGUUCAAAUCCCAGGUUACAUACGCUUCAGGUUACAUACUCUUCAGGUUACAGACUCCACUAACCCAGAAAUAGUACCUCAGGUUAAGAACUUUGCUUCAGGUUGAGAACAGAAAUCGUGCUCCGGCGGCGCAGCAGCAGCGGGAGGCCCCAUUAGCUUAAGUUGUGCUUCAGGUUAAGAACAGUUUCAGGUUAAGUACAGACCUCCGGAACGAAUUAAGUACUUAACCCGAGGUACCACUGUAUUUAUUUUUCUUUCCAAUCUCUUUGCGAAGCAGUUUGGGAACCACUGGUAUAGACAGUGCUGUGCUAGAUGGACCAGUGAUCUCACCUGGAUAUUUAGAAGCUUGCUACGUUGCAUAAACUCCAAUAUUUGGGAGAAUAAAAGAGAUACAAAGAUACGUUGCUGCCAGGAGUGGAGACCAAAUGGCAUUCUCCCCACUGCCACUGCCCCUUUCCUAGGACCAACACCUUACCAGGUCCUCUCCAAAUUUGAGGGGCGCCUUUGCGAGACCCUUCCUCUGUCAGGGGCUCGUGGGUGGGCUUACCUGGAGACAAUGGCAGGUGGCAGUGGGCAGCAGUAGUAGAAGCAACAGUGCUCCAAGCAGCACUGGGUGGCUGGAUGUAGCUGCCAUUUUUAUUUCCCACAAUGCCCUAGAAUCAUGCAACCUCACAGCAAAAAUUAAAUGGCAGUUAGCGGCAGCCUGGUGAAAAGAUGGUGUGAGCUAGGAGGGUAUUAAGCUGUACGCCCUGCUGUACUUUCCCUCAAAGGGUCGUGGCUCUCCACUUUUAAAAGAUUCCCUAUCAGACAUAGCCAGUAUUCAGCCAGUGUGGUGUAGUGAUUCAGAGCGGUGGACUCGUAAUCUGGUGAACCGGGUUCGAUUCCCCGCUCCUCCACAUGCAGCUGCUGGGUGACCUUGGGCUAGUCACACUUCUUUGAAGUCUCUCAGUCCCACUCACCUCACAGAGUGUUUGUUGUGGGGGAGGAAGGGAAAGGAGAAUGUUAGCCGCUUUGAGACUCCUUCGGGUAGUGAUAAAGCGGGAUAUCAAAUCCAAACUCUUCUUCUUCUUCAGCCCUCGUAAACAGCGUCUGGGCGGAAAUCACUGAAAUGUCUGGGACGUAUUUCAGCCCAUGUCGAAAGUGUAGAUUUUGGCAGAUUUCAUUAAAAAUAGCUCAAAAACUCUCUCUCUCUCUCUCUCUCUCUCUCUCUCUCUCUCUCUCUCUGAUGUUACAGUUAAAGCUCAACAACGUUUGUGUCUGGAUUUUCACUUUUUGAAAUAUGGCAACCCUACCUUACCAACAGGACUCGGGUGACGCUGUGGUCAAAACCACUGAGCCUAGGAUGCAAGUAGAUAAAUAGGUACCGCUCCUGCAGGAAGGUAAACGCCAUUUCCGUGCACUGCUCUGGUUCGCCAGAAGUGGCUUAGUCAUGCUGGCCACAUGACCUGGAAGCUGUCUGUGGACAAACGCCAACUCCCUCAGCCUAUAGAGUGAGAUGAGCGCCGCAACCCCACAGUCAUCCGUGACUGGACCUAAUGGUCAGGGCUAUCUUUACCUUUUUUACCUUACCAACACAAUAGGUACUGCAUGCAACUGAGAAUGUGUCUGCUCAGAAGCAAGGCCCACAGAGUUGACUUCGUCUUACUCCCAGGUAAGUGUUGUCAGCCACUUGGCACAGAGAAGAGUUUCUGAGGUGCUGCACAAAUUUGUACACUGGGAAUUUUCCUAGAAUAGGUCCCAGAACUGGAAGGAGUUUCAAACCUGUAUUUGCUUUGAGCACUUAAAGGAAGAAGGAAGAUUCCGCAAGCACCAUGAUGGCCUACAUUUGUUGCCCUAUUUGAUUCAACAGUGGCUGGAGAUGGACUGAAAUGUGUCCCAUUAAAACGUGCCAAACUUUUAUCCAUCGGUAAUUUGAGCUGCCAGGAAAGGUCAGCGUAAACGAAGGCAACAUUCUUCUCAGAGUCAAGACACCCUUGCUUGACAGCUAAGGUCUGCUCCGUAGUCUCUGCCUUGCCAGGGAAUUGUUGCCAUCUUUAGUAGCCUGGAAAAAUUUUAAGGACCAAGGUGCUAUUCUUAGACUUAUCUCACUGGGUUGCAAAAAAGCCCUGCUACACAUCCAUUUUAUCAACCCCCCUUGAGAAGUAAUGGGGGAAAGUGCCAUUAAGAUUGCACCAUGGCUAUUGCCUUUUUAUCUCUGGCAGAUAGCAAGUUGCUAUUCACAAAUGCACAACCACUAUAAGUUGCCAGGCCUUUUUUGGAAGCGAACAUGCGAAGCUGUCUAAAUUUACUAACUUGGUCUAUGGAUGCACCUAGCUCAGGGUUGUCUAUGUUGACAGAAGCUCUCCGGGGGUUUAGAUUAGUGCAGCUUUGUGUCCUAUUUUGGAGAGGACAGUUCUCUAUUUGAAGGGCUUUCAGAGAGUAGCCCUCUCUUUGAAGGAAAGUCCUUGACGCAAAUUUCAGUCCAAGUCCAGUUCAAGAACCCUGAGAGAAAAAAAGGUGCUUUAAAGGUGCACAAUGGUUAGCACCUGCACACAGGGGUGCCAAUUUGAAUAAAAUAUGGGGGGGGGAGUCAGGUGAGCCCCGCCCUGCAAAAUUGAUUACAAGACGCACACAAGACAUGGGCAGCCACGUUCAGCCAGUGGGCAGGGAAAGAGGCAAAGGCUCUUGCAGGGUUUUUUUUUCUGAGCCAAGGACUUGGUGGUGAGGUGGCCAGGGAAUCUUAAACCAGAGAGCUUUUGAAAAAAACCCAAAAGCUUCACAAUAGGAAACGAGGCAAAAUAUUUAUUAUUUAUUUUCCACCUUCCACACACAUGCUUCAAGGUGUGUGAAAUAAAAUAAAAACAGCUAAGAAACAGUUAAAAGCAGCUCAGAAAACAGCGAUGGAUAAAUUUAAAGACAAUAUCAAGCAGACUCCCAUGUCAGAGACCUAUUUACCCAACUGGAAAAGGUUUUUAGAACAAACAUGUCUUCAAAGUGCAGAUAGUCAUCACAUGUUGUAUCUCAAUGGGCAUCGUUUUCCACAGAACAGGAGCAGAGACACUCCAAGUGUCUCUAUUUUUCAGGGACAUCCCUGAUUUAGAGAAGCCAUCCUGGUUUCUAAUUUGAUCCCGGUGUUUUCUUUUUGGGGGGUGGGGGUUAUUGGGUUGUUGUUGUUUUUACUUUGAUUAUGUAUUUUGUGGUUUUAUAUUUUGAUUUCAUUCUGUGAAUUGCCCUGAGACCUCUGGGUAUAGAGUGGUAUAUAAAUUCUAAUAAUAAUAAUAAUAGAUUCAAAUGCACCCCUAAAACCUUGCAUUGGUGGCGUACAAAGGGACAUUGGCCCCCUAGGAGUUGGUUCCUAUGUCUGGACUGAGCAAGCACACAACUCGCCUGCUCAAAGUCUUCCCCACUAGGGUGAGAUGUAUUUCUAUAUAGAUCACAGCAAUUCUUUCUAAAUUUGCACUUUUACAUUUAAAAUAACGUGCGUAAAUUCUAUGCAAACAUGUCCACUUUCACCCUCUUUAAAGCAUGCAUAUCUCUUUUGGGGAGUGGGGGGAGGCGAGGGCAGGGGCGAAGGAAGGGGUUGUGACACCCGGGGCGGGCGACACGACAUAGGGCGCAUGUGCGGCGUCGCUAUGUACAGUGCAUGCGCUGUACGUAGCGAUGCUGCACAUACACUGCAUAGUGGUUUGCCGCCAGCUAUAGCGGUGACGGAGGGAUCCCGGCACCGUCCGUACAGCGCUGGAGCAGCACUGGCAGCAAACCGCUAUACAGUGCAUGUGCGGCGUUGCUACGUACAGCGCAUAUGUGCGACGCCGCACAUGCACUGUACUUAGCGGAUUGCUGCCGGCGCCCGGAUUCUCUGUUUGCGGCUAUAUCUGCGAACGGAGGAUCCUACAAAGGCGGCUGCAGCGGCGUGAUAGCUGCUCGUGCUGCCGCAAGCCCCUGCGGGGUGACUUCUUGUCACCCUCACAGACAUGGAACCCGGGGCAUACCGCCCCCCCCCGUUGUGACGGCACUGGGGGAGGGGGUGCAUAGGUGUGGCCACAGUUGUCCAGACAGGGUUCUGUCUCAUCCUUACCCAGAGGUAGAACCUGUGACCAUCUGCAUGCAAAGCAGACGUCAUACUACUGAGCAGCCAACGUGCCGUCUGCCUUUUCCUCCACUGGUGGAGACAGGCGGAAGACACCAUCAGCUGCUAUUUCUGCACCUAACCUGUUGAGCUUCAUGCAAGAGCAGCGCUUGCUCAGCUGCAUUCAGAUAAUAGAACUGGAACAUACAGAUUCCUGAGAGGUGGCAAAAGGAGAGGAACCAUUCAUUUCAGCUAGAAUCAGAGAAAUCAAAGCUCUUUCUAUGCAGAGUAUAAGUAGGUGUUCCAAGAAUUUCCUGGUUAUGCUACAAGCCUGGAGGAUGGCGUAAGCCUUUUGUAUUGUAUUUUACACAAUACACAAUGGCACAUUUUCAUCUUGGGCGAAAGGCAGCCGGAGGGUGAUCCUAGCAGGUAAAAAUAAGUACAGGGCAAAGGACUGUACACACAAAUGCACAGUUGCUUUUAAUGAGUUAAAGAAGAAGAUGUAGAGAGAUUCUAUCAUACAUCACCUGUAGCACCUGCAGCUUGGGCCUCGGAUUCCCUGAUGCUACAGCUGACAUGGACCCCCAAAACAUCCCCAGCCCCAUAGAACCCUGGCUUGACUGAGCAAAGGGCAGGGAAACUAAGCGCAGGGCAAUCCUUUAGUUGCAAAGAAGUUGCUGGGUUUUGGCGGGGGACAAAACGCAAAUCACUUUAGAAGAAGAAGGAGAAGGAGAAGGAGAAGGAGAAGGAGAAGAAGAAGAAGAAGAAGAAGAAGAAGAAGAAGAAGAGUUUGGAUUUGAUAUCCCACCUUUCACUCCCUUUUUAAGGAGUCUCAAAGCGGCUAACAUUCUCCUUUCCCUUCCUCCCCCACAACAAACACUCUGUGAGGUGAGUGGGUCUGAGAGACUUCAGAGAAGUGUGACUAGCCCAAGGUCAUCCAGCAGCUGCAUGUGGAGGAGUGGGGAAGCGAACCCGGUUCCCCAGAUUACGAGACUACCGCUCUUAACCACUACACCACACUGGCUCUUUAGGAAAAAAAGAAAAAAGACAAAGACAAAAAUUGCAGUGAAGCUCCAGUUUUAAUUCGGAAAAAGCAGCUUAUCAAAAGUUUGGGAAAUAUUACCCUGUGUUCUAGCCCUAUGUAGCACCAGAGCACAUGCUUAUUAUCACUGCCACCCUGUCAGCUCCUGGCUUCUGAAAUUAGGAAGCUGCUUCUUAUCAUUCUGGCAACUUGAGAGCUGCAGCCUGGCAUCCUCCGUUCACUAAAAGUGACAGAGGAGCAUGUAAGAAAAGCAGCUGUGAUCUUUUUAAGGCCAGGGUCAAUUUUUUCCCCCACUGCCCCUAUUUUGCUCUCUGAAGAAAUUGCCCCUUUCUUGUUUUCUAUUGCUGGUUGCACUAAGCCAGUUUAGAUGAUUUUAUUUCUUAUUUUGUCUAUUGAACGAAUUCUUAUCCCACUAUUCAGUCAACCAAAAGGCUGGGGGGUGGGGGUGGGAAUGUCAGUGCUAAGACGCUUCUUGUUCUCAGGUUUACAAUCUAAAAGACAGAGCACAAAAGGAAAAGGGAUCCGGAGGAAGGAGGGGGGAAAGCAAACUUGAGCACUUUAAAACUUUCAGAGGUCUUGUAAUGACCAGCUGGAAUGCAAAUAUUUCAAAUAUUUCAAGGAGGCAAAUGUUGCGGCUCCUUCUGCUGAGUGGGUGGAGAGGCCCUACGGUCCCACUUCUCUCCCUUUUCCUAUAGGCUGAUGUCAUGGCUGCUGCAGAUUAAUGCAGAAGUUUGCUCCCUAGCUAACCGGGAAGGAGGGGGGCUGGGUGCCAGGGAGGUGGGCAUGGUGCAAACACACCAGGAGCAGUACCCGAUCGGUGCCACCGGCGUGUCUCUGCUGUGCUGACUUCCCUGCUAGCUUGCCCCUCUCAAUAAGCAAAAAUGAACCGCCUUACCAGGAAGCCAGUGCAAGCAGCUCUGCUGCAACAGAGGUGCCACAUCUAGAUUAAUGGAGAAAGUGCAAAUCUUUAUCAUUGUAUUAAAGUCCCAAUAGCAACGAGUGGUGAAUCUGAACACUCAGAAGAGCCCACUGUGGUGCAUUUUUGGCAUCCCAACUUUUUGCUUGAGGUCUCUUUCUUAUAAUAUAUAUACUCUGACAGACCUGAUUUCUGCAUAGACAGAGUCAGAAAUAAAUAUAUACGCACGCCAAUUUCCAAUAGCAGAAAAUAAAUGCUAUCAGAAAUGCUAAAGAUGCCAUAGAAUAUGAACAAUAUCAUGGGUUGUGGACUAUAGGAAACUGAAAUAUGAAUCUUCUAAGCGCAUAUAGGAUUGGUUCAUUGCUUGUAAAUGUUAUACUGAAUUUUUUUAAGUUAUCGAUAGGAGACUACCUUGAAAAUGGCAUUUAUUCUAGCGGAAACGUGGUACAGAAAUGUUGCUUUCUAAUAAUCAUUACUGUUUUUUAAAAAGGACCCCUGAACUUGAAUGAUAAUUUUAUACAUACAUACUUUAUAAAAAGGAUCCUUAAAAAAUUAUUUCAUUGCAACCAAUGCUCACAUUUGUGGGUUUUAUUCCCUCAAUUUAUUAAACAAAGGGAGCCAUCUACUCUUGUGGCAGCAUUUGAUCAGGCGCAGCUCAAUACAUCCAGCUGAGCACUGAGGGGUGAGAUAACAGCAGAAAGCAUUCUAUCGCAGGGAACAGAAACUUUUCCAGGAAAAUGAUCUGGUUGUGCACACGCGAUUCCUCCUCCUUCCUUCACAACGAGACAGUCAUUUAGGCAUCAGUUGAUUUUGUUAUUCAAACUAUUUCAGUAGCUAGGGUUGAGUUUUUUCUUUUUUUUAAUGCAGUAGUGGGAGCUUUGCAGCAAGCAAAUCACUUGGCUGGCAGAAUUGUGCAGGACACAAAGAGAGAGAGACAGAGCGAUGACUUUGUUAGCAUUUUCUGUUUACUAAUGCAAUGAAUGUUAGUAUAAGCUUUUCAAACCAAAGGGAAAGUAUGUACGAGAAUCUGCCUAUUAGAUUAGUACAUCACCCUGCCUCAAGAAUUGCCCAGAGAGAAAUACAUUGUCUCAUUCCCUCCCCCCACCCCCCGCUGCCACCAAUUUAUCCUCACAACAACCCGAAGAGGUAGAUUCGUCUGUAAGAGAGUAGCUGGCUCAAGGUCAUCCAGUAAGCUUUGUGGCUAAGCAGGGAUUUGAACCCUGAUCUUCCUUGCUUACGCACUCGAAGAAGAAGAAGGAGAGUUUGGAUUUGAUAUCCAGCUUUAUCACUACCCAAAGGAGUCUCAAAGCAGCUAACAAUCUCCUUUUCCCUUCCUCCCCCACAACAAACACUCUGUGAGGUGAGUGGGGCUGAGAGACUUCAGAGAAGUGUGACUAGCCCAAGGUCACCCAGCAGCUGCAUGUGGAGGAGCAGGGAAGCGAACCCGGUUCCCCAGAUUACGAGUCUAUCACUCUUAACCACUACACCACACUGGCUCUAACCCAGUGACAGCUAAAAUGGCGGCCUAAGAUGUUGCUACAACUCUCAUCAGCCUCAACAAUUGUUAGCCAGGGAUUAUGGAGCUGUGUCAGGAAGGUUUUGGGCGCCACAUGGCAGGACAGAGUCUCAAACAAAGAUGCGCUUUCCCAAGCCCACAUUUGCCACAUGUUCACACUCCUGACUCAGCAACUUCUAUGCUGGCUUUGUCAUCUCCACAGAAUGGAAGAUGGCAGGACCCCCAAGGACGUUCUCUAUGGGGAUCCGGCUUCAGGCCUCCGGCCAAUUGGCAGACCAACACUGUGUCACAAAUAUGUCUGCAAAUGAAGGCUGGCAACAUCAAGCCUGUCAUGAGGGAAUCCCUCGCAGAUGACCGCAGAGCCUGGAGACAGUCAGGUUGUGUAUCCACAGCAGUGACCAGAGGAGGAAUGACUGCUAGGAGGAGCGCAGACAGAAGAAACGCCAUGGUGCACCUGUAACAGCAAAACUGGACACCUUCAUCUGCUCCAGCUGCAAUGAAACAGGUCUCUCCCAUAUUGGUCUCUACAGCCACAGCAGGCGCUGUAACUCUCCAACGGUUUGACUUCAACCUCGAAGGUGCACUCUUCCGUUGUCUCCAAAGAGAGACGGAUGCCACCCGUGGGAGCUGUAGUCAAAUAAUAUCUGCAGAAUACAUUGGAUAACCCUGUUCCAGGGUGGAUCUACACACAAGGGGAAAACCACUAUAAAUAAAUCAGAAAUUAAGUCGUUAUAACGAAAGAAAAAUUGCAAAUAAUUUUUAAUGCUCUCCAGCGCCAUGUGGUGUUGCAUAUUUAUAACGCAUUCAAAAUGCUGUUUUUUGACUAAUGUAGCGGAGUCCCCAAACUAGCUCAUGCAACACAACAAACAGUGCAUCAGCACGACGGGUGAUUAUUGGCUUGUGGUAACUUGGAGGUGGGCUUUUCCAGUGGUGGCCUCAGGGCUGUGAAGUGAUCUUCCUGCUGCAAUACAGGUGGCCCCAUCAGUAUUAGUAUUGACAAGCUACUACCACUGGCGGAGGAAGGGGGUGCGGUGGGUGCGGCCCGCCCCAUGGGUGCACAGCAUGUGCACCUCUCCAGGUGCCAGAGCAGCUAGCUCCGCCUCUGGCUACUAUUAUUGUCUAUUUUUCAUUUUCCUCUUUCGGUUGUGGGAAGUUAUAAGGAUGAGCAUGGAAUCAACACCACAGGAAACUAUCAAGGCAACUUACCUGUGCAGCAGAAAAGAAUUAAUGUCUAUAUGAAUCAAGCCUAUUGGAAGUACAUGGGGUUGUUGGUAAUUGGGUGGGGAAAUUAGAUUACAAGAGCCAAAGCAGAGGAUGCAAAUAGAAAAGGCCUUGUCAUCUUCCAUUGCCAUGAAGUCUCUCAAUCGUUUAUAUGGAUUGUUGGCUGCACUUCAGGGUUAGUUCUCAGAUAUGAGAAACAAGCAUAUUAGAAAUAAGUUGCAAAAGAGUUUUGGACUAUAACCCUACCCUCACUUCUCCCCGCCCCCUUUUAAACAAGCUUUAUUAAAUCUGAUAUAGGCUUAGAUACAUAAAUAUGAUAAUUACAUAAAACAGCAAAAUGCAUAAUACAAUCAAUGAAUUGUUUUUCUUGCCACAUGUGGCUAUUAAAGGUGUAGAGAGCCAGGGAAGCCAACAGGAUUUCCUGGGUCUGUUACACUGUGUGUGGAUUGGGCCUGCAAUCUAUUUGACAAGAACUGCUGCUUAUGUACAUGUAUUAAUUUAACCUAGCCAACUUCAUACGCCUGUUGCAAAUAUAAAAGGGGGAGCGGAGGAAAAAUAUACUCAAAUCCCAGAUGGGAAUAUUGACAUUCCAUCCUAUGGCUGCUUAUCAGCAGUGAUCAAGUGAUUAAAUGUCCUUAGCAAAGGAGCUGCCUGGUAAGGGCUGAAACAUUAGCACUGCCUCCCACUUUUAUGUUCUAACUUUCUUCGGAAAUGCCUGACUGACUUACUUAAAAAAAAGCAUACACAAACUCUCUGUCUAGCAGGAAAUACUGAAGCCACUUCAAGUGUUUGAGCUAGAUAAACUCCGUUGAGGGCACCGUGUCCCUUCCCCUCGCCAUCUCUUCCUUCACCUUGCAGCUUAUCAGCCAUAGCAAAUGUUUUAAUGACUCGUUUGGUGGCAGCAAACUGUGUCACUGGAUAACCUCUCUGACCUCAGACACAGAAUACAUUAGAAAACAAGUGUUGAACAGCAGAGGCAACCUUCCCCAGACUGAUUCUUUGGCUCCAAAUGCUGUUGGUGGAAAAGAGAGGAUAUAUUGAUAUUCCAUGUUUGAUCCUUGAUUGGAACACCUUCCCUAUCAAUAAAGGUUAAAGAACUGAGCUUUUCUUUAGUCUUUUUGGUUUUUUAAAAAGUGGGCUGCAUAACUGAGUUUCCAAGAAUUAGCGGGUUGGACAGAAAAGCAUUUUUCUCUCUUGUAAUACUCAACAUUGGUACAGGGUGGCAGUGGGAUUCACAUAACUGAUUGACAGUAGGUUAAGGACAGACAAAAGUAAAUGCUUCUGUAGACAAUUAGGACUGUGGGACUUUGAGAAUGGGCUGGAAAAAGACAUGUCUCCCGAGACAGAUGGAUACCAACAGAAACUGUUUUGGCAUGUUUUAUGAAAUAACAAUAUUUGAGUAUUUUUAUGGGUGAAUGUUUAUACAGUGGUACCUCGGGUUAAGAACUUAAUUCGUUCUGAGGUCCAUUCUUAACCUGAAUCUGUUCUUAACCUGAGGCACCACUUUAGCUAAUGGGGCUUCCCGCUGCCGCCACACUGCCAGAGCACGAUUUCUGUUCUCAUGCUGAAGCAAAGUUCUUAACCUGAGGUACUAUUUCUGGGUUAGCAGAGUCUGUAACCUGAAGCAUCUGUAACCUGAAGCGUCUGUAACCCGAGGUACCACUGUAUAUGUCAAAGAGAUCGCUGAUUAUUACUUUUUCAGUAUUAUGUUGCUGUGAUAUUAUAUGGCCUCGUGGUGCUAUUUUCGUAGUUGGGUUUAGGUAUUUAAGCGCAGAUUUAGUUUGUGGACAAUGUGGCUUAUAAACAAAAUGGCAAUGGCAACGAUAUAAGCUGGAAUCCAACAGCAUCUGGAAGGAAUGGGUUAUCCAGAAAGAUGGCAGGACCAGCAGUCCACAGGCCAACCUUUUGCUAGCUUCACUCAUUUUUUGUGUGUGCUCCAGAAUGGAACAUCUUGAUGAAGGGAGAGAGAUUGACCGAUCCAGGCACCUACUUUAAAAGGCUCCAUCGUGGGAAGCCUACCAAGAGUUUGCCAUCUUAAGGCAGUGUUGGAGAUGCAGUCUCCAUGCAGCUGUUGGAAAGAAGUGACUUGGAGCAACGCUGACAAACUGCUUCUGAGUGACACAAGCUGCUCUCUCUUGCCAAGGCGAGGCAGCCUUCAGAUUGCUGGGCCUGCUUCUACUCAGGAUGCCCUUUUAUUGCCCGAUAAGCAUUUGCACUGCCUCAUUCCUUUCAUUCUAACGCCAGCUUACCUGUUUGUCGUGAAUGAGCUCUUGACAAUUCCAUCCAUCAAGAGGUCCCAGGCAAAGCACAUUGAGAAACAUUCCCCUUGACUGCUCUGGGGUAGUGAAACUCCCUUUCCGCAAGUACUCACCCAAUGAAGCAAUCAAAAUACUUUUUUUUUUAAAAAAAGUGGAUUGGUAUUUAAGAGAUGGGGUUAAGUAUACAGACACUUUUCUAUUAAUACUGUUAUAGAUUGGGGGGGAACCCCCUAAGCCCUAGAAAAUAAUAAAUGGUAGGAUUUUGAUUACAAUGGUACCUCUGGUUAAGAACUUAAUUUGUUCUGGAGGUCCGUUCUUAACCUGAAACUGUUCUUAACCUGAGGUACCACUUUAGCUAAUGGGGCCUCCCAUUGCCGCCACCGCACGAUUUCUGUUCUCAUCCUGAAGCAAAGUUCUUAACCCGAGGUACUAUUUCUGUGUUAGUGGAGUCUGUAACCUGAAGAGUCUGUAACCUUGAAGCGUUUGUAACCCGAGGUACCACUGUACAAGAGAACUGUCCUCCCCCCCUUGUCCUGGGAUUUGAACAGAGACCCGGGGUGUGUGUGGAAGGUUGCCCGGGUAACUGGGAGUGAGGUGACAUGGAAAGAGAGUUUUGAGCAAGGGUUUAUGGGUAGAAGAAAGGAAGAGAAAAAAGACUGGGAUCCAUCUUGGGCAGGCUGGCUGAGAGAGAUGCCUUGGGCUGCACUGCUGUGGAGGACAAGCCCCUCUUGAAAUGACCAUGCUGUAGGAUGUGGACUCCUUCCAGAUGUUGCUGCACUACAACUUCCAUCCAUCCCAGCUACCAUGACUGAUGACCAAGGAUGAUGGGAGCUGUAGUUCAGCAAUAUCUGCAGGGCCAAAGGUUCCCCAAGCCUGAUGUAAAGAGAUUUAACACCCACCCACCAUACAAAGUCCAGAAUCUGAAACUACCGAAGUGAACCCACUGGCGCCUCUCGCAAAUUAGGAAACAGACCCAGGACUUCAAAUGCCCCACAAGAGACACAAUCAUGCAUCCUUCGAGGCAGAGCAAUUUUGCCAUUAUCUCAGCAUUUGGGCACUGUGAUGUGUGUGUACUCAGGGCAAAGCCCAUGCCCAGUUUUAGGUCAGAUGAAACAGUGUGACUUGGCUUGGGAAGGCAAGGAUUUAACCAGACAAAAAGAAACCAGUCAUGUCAUUAAAAGCCUAUUGAGAAUGAUGGAUUAGUGGAAAUCCUGUGUGAUGAGCCGUUGCUUGAAAUAAAUAGCUCUGGUUCGGUUGCUUGCCUGUUGUGGAUAAAAUGAAAAGAGGCGAAAUGAGAAAGACUGCAAAAUGGAGGUGGUUAAAACGCCAUCCUCCAGCAGAACUACAUGCUUUGUGGAAGGUGAUGCCCCUGUCAUCCGAAGUUGAAGAAAAAGAUGGCAGUGUAACAUGGUGACAUUGUGUUGGUGUUUCCCCACGUCUACAAGAAACACCCAACGAAGCAGAACAAGGUACAGUGGUGCCUCGCAAGACGAAAUUAAUUCGUUCCGCAAGUCUCUUCGUCUUGCGAGUUUUUCGUCUUGCGAUGCACGGUUUCCCAUAGGAAUGCAUUGAAAAUCAAUUAAUGCGUUCCUAGGGAAACCGCCUUCAGAUCAGGUCCGGGGACAGUCUGUCCCCGGACCUCUUCUGAAGGCUGGGGGGGG